rnacentral:rRNA from 1 species
CCUACGGGUGGCAGCAGUAGGGAAUAUUGCUCAAUGGGCGAAACCCUGAAGCAGCAACGCAGCGUGGAGGAUGAAGGUUUUCGGAUUGUAAACUCCUUUUGUUAGAGAAGAUAAUUGCGGUAUCUAACGAAUUAUCUCCGGCUAACACCGUUCCAGCAGCCGCGGUAAUACGGAGGGUGCAAGCGUUACUCGGAUUCACUGGGCGUAAAGGGCGCGUAGGCGGGAUAGCAAGUCAGAUGUGAAAUCCUAUGGCUUAACCGUAGAAUUGCAUUUGAUACUGUCAGUCUAGAGUAUGGUAGAGGUAGGCGGAAUUCGUGGUGUAGCGGUAAAAUGCGUAGAGAUCACGAAGAACACUCAUUGCGAAGGCAGCCUGCUAGAACGUAACUGACGCUGAUGCGCGAAAGCGUGGGGAGCAAACAGGAUUAGAUACCCGAGUAGUC